rnacentral:lncRNA from 1 species
AUGUUGAAACUAAUCAGACUUUUACAAAUGUUUGACUCAGAUGAAAACGUAUUACAAUACAAUUUCAUUAUGGCUAUGAUAUGAGAAGGAAACAUAAUCUACUUUCAGACAGAAUACUCCAAGAAAGGUACCGUUUUACAUUUGUUCUCAUUACUUUAUCUUUGAAUCCAUGAUAAAAUCAAUAAUAAUGAUAUUAGUAUUAAUAGCAAUUGACCAAAUUAUUUUCUGCUAUGCUAUGUUGAAUAUUCACUUUUAUAUGGAAUGCCUUCAUGAAAGCUACCUUGUAAAAUGAGAGCAAAUUUCACUUCCAUUUCAGAGAUGAUAAAAUAACCGAGUCAGCCAGCCAGAGAACUUGGCUUCUUGCUAUUACACAUAUACACACACAUUCUGAAAUCCUUCUAACUUAGCAAUUCAUCAGUAAAAGCCAAAACUGGGCUUGUGAAAGUCCAAGUUAGGAAUGUACAACUAUCUCUGCCCCACCUCUAAUCCAAAACCCAAACCAUUCCUUAGGCAUCUCCCCAAGAAUUCCUCUGCUAAGAGACCUGGGUUUCAGAACUACCUACGUGAUUUGGGGCAAUAAUCAUGCCCCAAAUCAUGCAGCAUACUACAAGCCAGUGUCCCCCAAAAGAGCUUCCUUCUAGGAAGCUAAUACUCUUCUUUUCAACUUCUAACCCAGUCUGUCACCAAAAGGAUUUCAUUCUAGAAAAUUUCAUCAAAGGUGAUUGGCUUUUAUGUUUAUAACACCAGGCCAUUCUUCUGUUGCGAUCAGCUCUGGGCUUCCUGUCACCACCCAGCUUGCCCCUAUCUGCUUGGGACUGCCUAAUCAGCCAGAAGACCACAAAAAAGGGCACUCAUCCUUUGUCACCUGAAACAGGACAGAUGUGAAGCACUUUCAACAACUUGUGCUUGAGGCCUGGGAUUCUGUAGAGCAUGUUCCAGUGUACAAGAGGAUUCAAGUCCCUGGCAGCCUGCUUUCUAUCCAAAGCUGGGUCACCUCUCUUGGGACCACCAGGACAUUGAAUUGCUUUCCCAUUCCUGUGGACUUCUGAAAUGGGCCCACCUGAGACAAGAACCCAGAGUGCCUAGCACCUUUAGGCUGGGCACAGAACCACCCACCUAGGAACCGAUGACUGCAACCCAGGAGGAGACACAGAUGCCCCCAGAGAUGCCCCCAAGUCACAGCCUCCCUUGAGCCCUGCCAAUGCACUCCCUAACUGCCUCACUUGGCUGGAUCACCCUGCUCCAGGAACAGACAACUGGAGCCUGAGAAAUCAGAUGAUGGAGACCUACCAAGCAUCACCCUCCUCCUGCCUCCCAACAGCCACCACCCAGUGUUCCAAGUCUUGUUGGGAGUAGAGCCCAGGAGCAGUGGCUGAGUUGAUGCAAGGCUGCCUCUGCCACCUGCCUUUGGCCUCCUUGAGAUUUCUUUCACUGAGACUCUUCAAUGGGUGAUCCUGUGCCAAAAGGUAUUGCUACCAUGACACCUCUAGGUUUGCUCAAACACAAUGGUAGAGAUCGUGCCUGCAGAGAACUUUGCACAUGUGUUUUUGCCCACGUGAUAAAACUGUGCAAAAAUGCAAAAUUCUUACCCAUGCAUGUUUCUGGUUUGGCUGCUGAGGAAGGACAGGGAGCAGAGGAGCUGGUGGCCGGGCCUGGGCCAGGACAGGUGCAUGGCCCUUGGUGCAAUAGGGAGGAGUCCAGCAUGAACACAACUUUUAUUGGUAUAGAGGUGACUGGGUGUUUUAAAGGGAGACUGAGGGAAUAGGGAGGUGUGUGAGUGAGGAAGACCUGCGUAGAAACAGGAAAGUGAAAAAUUAUAGAAAGUGGAAAGGGGGGAUUGGUCCAUAUGAACUGAGUCUCCUAACUGGGGCUAAACAAAGCUAGGCUCCUGCCCUCCCACAGAGGCUGGGAGACAGGAGCCCUAUUUUCAGGUCUUGCCUCGAACACACAGUAUAUUCUUUUUGUAGCCUUGAUCUUUCUCAGUCAGGCAUCUAAAGGAGGGCUAGGGUCAUCCCAGAGUUGUGGCCUUGAGCUGUAAGACACUGUGUUAGUGUUUUUCAAGUCUUUAUAGACCAAGGUUGAAGCUUAGUAAAGAGUACUCCCAGGAACCUGUCUAGAGAUUGGUCAAGGAGAUAAUCUUUGUUAAUGUCAACUGAAGAAAAAAAAAAUCAAGCUUUUAAAUAUUUAAAUUUAUUUAGAAGUCUUUCUGAGGACUACAGACUGAGGACUUACAGCCCUGGAGGAGUCUUUUAGAGAGAUUUUGCAGACUGCUUAGAAACAGCGUUUCUGCUCAUAACUUAUAUACAGGUCAUGGAGGUUUCAGUAUGCCUUCAGAACUUACGUCAAACUUGCUCAGAUUUUACAUUAAAGCAGAAUCACAUCAAUGCUUGGGUGCAAGAGUACAUCUGGUUAUAGAUUAUAGAGCAUAAUCACUAACCCUGUCACAUAUUAUGUGUAGGAAAAUAUGUGUCACAUAUUAUGUGCAAGGACUGAGUUCAUUUAUGUGUUUUGUUUGUUUGUUUGUUUUUUUGAGAUGGAGUUUUGCUCUUGUCGCCCAGGCAGGAGUGCAGUGGCGCGCUCUUGGCUCACUGCAACCUCUGCCUCCCGGGUUCAAGCGUUUCUUCUGCCUCAGCCUCCCAUGUAGUUGGGAUUACAGGCACCCACCACCACGCCCAGCUAAAUUUUGUAUUUUUGUUAGAGACGGGGUUUCACUAUGUUGGCCAGGCUGGUCUUGAACUCCUGACCUCAGGUGAUCCACCUGCCUUGACCUCUCAAAGUGCUGGGAUUACAUGCAUGAGCCACUGCGCCCGGCUCAUUUAUCUUUUAAGGAACAUAGUGACUCAGACAGGAGAUGUGGGGGGCAAUGUGCUGUAUCCUGCCUGUUGUUGUUGUUGUUGUUGUUGUUGUUUGUUUGUUUGGACAAACUCUCACUCUGUCACCCAGGCUGGAGUGCAGUGGUGCGAUCUCGGCUCACUGCAACCUCCACCUCCCGAGUUCAAGUGAUUUUUGUGUCACAGCCUCUCGAGUAGCUAGGAUUACAG